CUAUAGCUGGGCGCAGCCUGAUCAGCCAUGCCGCGUGAGUGAUGAAGGCCCUAGGGUUGUAAAGCUCUUUCGCCAGGGACGAUAAUGACGGUACCUGGAUAAGAAGCCCCGGCUAACUUCGUGCCAGCAGCCGCGGUAAUAA
rnacentral:rRNA from 1 species